GACGUAGGGCGCGAGCGUUGUCCGGAUUUAUUGGGCGUAAAGAGCUCGUAGGCGGCUUGUCGCGUCGACUGUGAAAUCCCGCGGCUCAACUGCGGGUCUGCAGUCGAUACGGGCAGGCUAGAGUUCGGUAGGGGAGACUGGAAUUCCUGGUGUAGCGGUGAAAUGCGCAGAUAUCAGGAGGAACACCGAUGGCGAAGGCAGGUCUCUGGGCCGCAACUGACGCUGAGGAGCGAAAGCAUGGGGAGCGAACAGG
rnacentral:rRNA from 1 species